GGCUGGUUAGCUCAGUGGUUUGAGCACGGUGCUCAAAGGACAAGGACAACACUGGGAUCGCGGGUUCGAUUCCCGCUCGGUCC
rnacentral:tRNA from 1 species